AACGGCGUCGUUUCGAUAUCAAUCCGUCUUCUUCCUCGCGUCUUAGUUCUCAUCCUCUCUCUCUCUCUCUCCUCUGCAACUCUCUCUCUCUAGUCUCUACUCUCUCAGAUGAAGCUCAUUCUGAGAACCGACUGUGAACCGCCACAGAAAUGAAGCAUCGGCCAGCAUCGGCGUUUCUCCUCCCCAUCGACCAGUUUUGGCCGGUUUUCUCCCCCAAAACUUAAGCGUCGGUCGGCGUUGGUUUUUCCCAAAAACCACGCCGAAGGGGUCGGUUUUCACCCCUAGGGAUAGGUACAAAG